rnacentral:rRNA from 1 species
AUUGAACGCUGGCGGCAUGCCUUACACAUGCAAGUCGAACGGUAACGGGCCUUCGGGUGCCGACGAGUGGCGAGCGGGUGAGUAAUACAUCGGAACGUGCCCGAUCGUGGGGGAUAACGAGGCGAAAGCUUUGCUAAUACCGCAUACGAUCUACGGAUGAAAGCAGGGGACCGCAAGGCCUUGCGCGGACGGAGCGGCCGAUGGCAGAUUAGGUAGUUGGUGGGAUAAAAGCUUACCAAGCCGACGAUCUGUAGCUGGUCUGAGAGGAUGAUCAGCCACACUGGGACUGAGACACGGCCCAGACUCCUAAGGGAGGCAGCAGUGGGGAAUUUUGGACAAUGGGCGCAAGCCUGAUCCAGCCAUGCCGCGUGCAGGAUGAAGGCCUUCGGGUUGUAAACUGCUUUUGUACGGAACGAAAAGCCUUCUUUUAAUACAGGAGGGUCAUGACGGUACCGUAAGAAUAAGCACCGGCUAACUACGUG